AUCAGUAAGCUCACUCCUCGAAAAAUUUGUUCCAUGCGCGAAGUCGGCCAAAAUUCUUUUUCCCGUGCGCAUCCGAUAACAGCGUGUUUGAUACGUUUGCUACGAUUGGUCGGGAUCGUCAUCUGAUUUUAUUUUGUGAAUUUUUUGAGGUUGUGUUUUUGAAUUGUAUUGUUUUGGUUAAUUUACUACUUUAUUUUCAUAUUAAUAAUAGGUAGUUAUGUAUAUUAAUAUGUGCUGUGAAUGUGAUAUUAUUUUCUUAAAUCAGUAAAAUGGAACUAAAGCAAGCAGAAAACUAUUUUUACAAAGAAGAAUGUAAAAUUAAAAUCGAAAAUACUAACAACCCCUGUGAUGCUGUAAUUAUGUUCCUAUUCUGUUAAAACCCAGAUAAAGAGAGUCUUUACAACUGAUAAAAAUAGUUAUUUCUAUGAUGAAAAUUCUUUGGACCAAAUAAAUAGAGAAGUUAUUAUUGAAGACAUCAAAAUAAAAGAAGUAAUGCAUGUCGAAAAUGAUUUUCUUUAUGAUACAAGAAGAACUGAAGUUAUUAUAAAACCAGUGGCUGAACAUUCAUGACAAAAAGAACAACCCAUUAAGUAGCCAGUAUGCAAAAGCAACAAUUAAAUUGUGAAAUUUGUUGUAGACCUGUGUGAAGAAACAUUUAAGAGCACACACUGGAGGAAAACUUUAUCAAUGUGAAAUUUGUGUUAAGCAUUUUACUCUAAAAUCUAAUCUAAAUCAGCAUAAAUAUGUCAGUUCAUAUUUCGAUACAGUGGUAAAAACCUUAUGAAUGCAACAUUUGUGGUAAGCAAUUGACUGCAAAAACAAAUUUAAAUAAUCACAUAAAAGUUCACACUGAAGGAGAAAAGUCCCACAAACAUGAAAUUUAGUCCACUAUUUUUACUUUUUAUUACUGCAGCAUGAUUCUUGGAAAUUUAUUGUCUUCUUUGUUUUAUACCCUUGAUCAGCUUGUAAAUGGUUUUUGUUUAACUGUCCUUUUAGUUAUAUUUUAUUUCAUCCUAAUUCUUGCACAUUUUCAUUUUUAAUUUGUCACAUGUACCGCAUGUAUUUUUCUUAGGUUUCUUUACACUGAUAUCAGGCUGUAAAAUAUGUUUUCAUAUAUUUUAUGAUUAAUCAAAUUAUCUGGAUACAUCUUCUUCUAAGGUUUAGGUAUAGAAAGCAGUGAUAGUGUAGAGUGAAGGUAAAUAUUUCCUCGAUGACUGCCUUCUUUUCAUAUUUAAUCAUAUUCAGUUGUUUUCUUUAGACAUUCUUCAAUUUUCACUUAUUAGGUAUACACAGUGUGUCUGCGUAACUUGGAACCAUAUGGAAAACUUUUUUUUAUUAUCAAUGUUACCAAAAAAAGUUAUUCUUCAUAAACUGAUCUGCUUAGUCUAAAACUUAAACUGCAAUCAUCAGAUUUCAACCUUUUGUCAACAGUAUACGAGGUAUGUCAAAAAAUAUGAAUUUCGCUCAAGAGCAUGCUCAAGUACCUUUAUUUUUCACAAUGUUGAAAAUUAUUAUUAUAAAAAGUUGUUCGAGAUUAAAUACUAUGUUUCAAUAUGCAAUUACAUCCUUCUAAUUGAAAUAUUGUAAACUAUAAUAGUACCUACUUUACUCAUGAGCGAAAUUCAUUUUUUUACAUACCUCGUAUAAAACUGAUAAAAUUGGAUAUAUAUUAUGAUUGCAUCUUAGUUUUUAGACCAUAUUGACCUUUUUAUAAAAUAUAAUUUUUUUGGUAAAAAUAAUUAUCAUAAAUAAAAAUGAUGUUGGUUGAUACCAUUACAGGAAGGGGCUUGCAUCCAGAUUAUGUCAAAUGUUUGCAGUUUCCACAAUAUUUUUCAAUGUACAUCAUGUGACAAUACACAACAGCCUCUUAGAUUUUUUCUUGACAAGUGACCACUUAGCAUAGAUGAAACUAGUGGACUCUUUUCUGGUUUCAAAAGAUUGUAUAAUUGGUUAUUUGAAUGACUAUUGAGAAUUUUCUUGGGUGAGACAAUUUGCACAAGGAUUUGACUCGGGAAUGCUGUUCACAAUAUAAUAUAUUGUUCAUAUUAUUCAGUCUACCGAAACAGCUAUAUCUUCAAAUAUUAAUAAAUGCUGGUCUUUUGUAAACAAUGAAAGAAAAAAUAGUGCUUUUCCUAGUGGACUCAGGCAAAGAUAUUGCAAAUUUAUUUGCUGAUUAUUUUUGCACUUUAUUCUCACAGUAAUCUGAAUGUGCCUGGUCAUGAACUAUCUUCAUCCGAUAUUAAUAUAACUAAACAUAUAAUUUUAAUAUCAGCUCUCUUUUCUUGAUAUUAAUAAGGGCCCAGUAUACCUCCUCUGUUUUUAAAGAAAUGCAGUUUUAACCUUUCCAGGCCGCGAAUUUACAAAACCUAUAUUGUCCUUUUCAUGAGCAUUUUUCAGUGCAUAACAAAUGAUAGGAAAAAGGGUAAGUCCGUGAUAAUACACAUUUAUGACAUUUAUUCUAACAUGACAUUUUAGUUAAAUCUGACAGUUGUCAUAUUUUAUUUUCAAUUUGGAAUAAAAACAAAUCAAAUGUGUUUCUUGCAUUUAUAAAAUGGUAUUUUCUUUGAUUUGUGUAGUCUUAUAAAUUAUACAGAUUAUAUUUGUAAUAUUAUUAUCUAAUUAAAAAAAAUUAUUUUUUUUAUUAUGGCGCCAUCUAUCGAUAACUAGAAUAACUAGAAUAAAUGUUGUAAAUGUAUGUAAUCAGCGACGUGCCUUUUUUUUUCUGUCACAUACAAUUUAAUGCGUUAGAAAGAAAUCGAAAAACUGUGACGCACUGAAAGAUGAUCAUGAGAAAAAGAAUACCAAUACACAGCAGCGACUGAAUUCGAGUAGGGUUUGUAUGCAGAAUAUUAGUUACAUAUCCUAUGCUAUUUCGGUCCAGAAAUUAACUGUAUUGGUGUAGGAUUUGCAAACCAAAUUUUUGGUUAUUACCGAGCAAAUGUUUAUACUGUUUCAGUCAUGUAAGUAAAACUAAUCAAAUAUUUACUAAAUGGAUUUAUUAUUAUGUCUAUCAUAAAAUUUAGAUAUGUUUUGAAAUUUAUAAUGAAUAAUGCAUAUUUGGAUAAUAUUAAAAAUUAAAAACAAAUGAAUAAUAACUAAUGUACGAAUAUAUACAGGAUGUCCCUGUAAGUUGGAACCAUAUGGAAAACUCUUUUAUUAUUGACUUAACGAAAAAAAGAUAUUCUUCAUAAAAAGUUCUGCAUGGUCUAAAACCGAAGAUGCAAUCAUAUGAUAUUAAGUUUUAUUAAUAGUAUAUGAGAGAUGUCAAAAAAUAUGAAUUUCUUUCAAGAGUAACGUAUCUUUAUACAGAGAGGGGCUAAAUUAUGGAAUAAAUUCAUUUUCUCUAAAAUGGACGACUUGGGAGAAAAAUACCGAAACAGGUCGAUUUUUAUUUUUAAAUUAUAAUUUUUUUGCACAUAUUUCAUAAUAGUGACGUCGUCCAUCUGAGCUUGAUGACGUAAUCGAUGAUUUUUUUAAAUGGGAAUAUGGGUCAUGUGGCACCUCAUUUGAAAGGGUGUUCAAUUCGCUAUUUAAUAAUAUAAACACAAAUAUCAUUAUUUAUACAGGGUGGCCAAAAAAAUUUUUGAAUUAUAUUAAUUGACGAAAAAAGAAGAAUGCAUGCAAUUUAUUUAAAUCAAAAUACAUUUUAUUGCUAUCAAUAAAUAGAAAAAAUGUUUAUUUCACAAAUAAACAUUUCUUCUUGCUUAAAUUAAAUCACAAACAGCCUCCCACGUACAUACCUCUUGGCAGUUUGAACAUUUAAUUUAAGCCAAAAACCAAUGUUUAUUUGCCAAAUAAACAGUUUUUUCUAGUUUCUGACAGCGAUAGACAGGCCCGACCAGAGGGGGGCAGGGGGCAAAAUCCCCGGGGCCCGGGCCCGGCCGUUAGCAAAUUUUAAAAAAUUCCUUUUAUUAAAAUAUUUUACAACAGAUUGAAUUUGCUUGCGGUUUUAAUUAUGAAAUUAUUAUGAAAUGAUUUACUUGAAAACUGUUAGUAAAUCAAACAUCUCAGAUAUGUCGCUGAAACCAGCAAAACUUUUGAACAAGCUCGUGUCCCUUAAUGUGACAAAUCUUUUCCCCAAUGUGUGCAUUGCUCUUCGCAUAUUCUGUUGGCUACCAGUAUCCGUUGCUCAGGCCGAGAGAUCAUUUAGUGUUUUGAGCCGAAUUAAGAAUUGUUUAAGAUCUACUAUGGGUCAACAACGAUUAUCUGAUUUGGGACUGUUAAGCAUAGAGUCGAAACUUGCAAAAACUCUUGAUUUCGACCACGUGAUCCAAAACUUUGCGGAUAUGAAAGCAAGAAAAGUUAUGUUGUAACUAACAGUUCUAUUGUAAAUAAUUAAAAACAAAGUUUAAUUGUUAAAACUGUUUUAAUUUUCUUCCUUCCUGUGUCAAUAGCAUGAGUGUUCACUAUUACAUAUCCCAGUUUAUGAGUUAUCAGAUUUUUGGGAAUUUUCGUUCAACUGGGUUUUGGGGGGGGGGCGGCGGCUGGGUCUCAUCCCCGGGGCCCGGCCUGGCUCUGGGCGGCCCUGGCGAUAGAAAGUAUUUUGAUUUAAAUAAAUUGCAUGCAUUCUUCUUUUUUCGUCAAUUAAUAUACAGUGGAACCCCGAUAAGUCGGCCCCCGAUAACCCGGAAGUCCGGCUAACCCGGACCGAUUUUCAUCAGACAAAAAUUUAACAAAUAAACAAUUUAACAAUUUUAUCAAAUAAAAAUGUAUGUAGGCCAAAUAAUAUUUCAGAGAUAAUGUGUAUUUGUGUAAUUUGAACACAUAAGUACAAUAGUAAAAAGAUUCAUGCACACGGCGGCAGCCAGAGCGACCGUCUCAGCUUAUCGGAAAGAACAGACACCUGUCUGUAUUCCUUUUUCUUUAUUUAUGUCAAACUGUCUUAGCAUUGUUUAAAAAAGACGUGACUAUUUAAAAAUUCUUGUAUUGUGUGUAGUACAGCCUAUUAAUCACUUCCGUUCUGUAAUGUAAUCGUGCUUCAGAUUGUGUUUGCUUUGUCUACGUAAUGGUAACAAAACGUAAAAAUGUUUACAUUAGGUAGGAUUGAUAAAGACGAAUCUUUAAAAUAAAUGUAUUGCAGCAUCAUAAUAUGAUAUUAUGCUACCAUAGGUCUGGAUCCCGCGUAUGAAAAAAUAGUUGAUUAAUAGCAAGCUAAAAAUGUAUUAAUAGCUUAAGGGUGUCUAGUCGGAUAAACUUUGAUAUAUGAGAACACUGGAACAGGGGCAGUUUUAAUUGUGGAACAGGUCAAAAAUUUGGAACGGUCAGAACACGAAAAUGGCACAUUUGUUUUGUCCGACAGAACAGACUUAAACUCUCCGAACAGAGAUUAAACUCUCAUGCAAAAAUCAGACUGCUAUUUAUCACCUGUCAUAAUUCCUGUCAUUUGACAUAUUCUACAUGUUCCACUCAUUAAAACGCCAAUUUGGUGAUAAA